rnacentral:rRNA from 1 species
GUCUACAGCCAUACCACCCUGAAUGCACCAGAUCUCGGAAGCUAAGCAGGGUCAGGCCUGGUUAGUACUUGGAUGGGAGAAUUAUAAUAUACAUCAUGGUGCUAGAAA